CAGUAGCCGCGGUAAUACGGAAGGUCCGGGCGUUAUCCGGAUUUAUUGGGUUUAAAGGGAGCGUAGGCCGUGGAUUAAGCGUGUUGUGAAAUGCAGGUGCUCAACGUCUGCACUGCAGCGCGAACUGGUCCACUAGAGUGUGCGCAACGCAGGCGGAAUUCGUCGUGUAGCGGUGAAAUGCUUAGAUAUGACGAAGAACUCCGAUUGCGAAGGCAGCUUGCGGGAGCACAGCUGACGCUGAAGCUCGAAAGUGCGGGUAUCGAACAGGAUUAGAUACCCCGGUAGUCCCUGUCUCUUAUAC
rnacentral:rRNA from 1 species